rnacentral:rRNA from 1 species
UACGUAGGGGGGCAAGCGUUUGUCCGGAUUUAUUGGGCGUAAAGAGCUCGUAGGCGGUUUGUCGCGUCUGCUGUGAAAACCCGAGGCUCAACCUCGGGCCUGCAGUGGGGUACGGGCAGACUAGAGUGCGGUAGGGGGAGAUUGGAAUUCCUGGUGUAGCGGUGGAAUGCGCAGAUAUCAGGAGGAACACCGAUGGCGAAGGCAGGUCUCUGGGCAUUAACUGACGCUGAGGAGCGAAAGCAUGGGGAGCGAACAGG